GUCUAAAAUAGUUAAAUACUAGUAAAUAGUACUGUUAACAGAAUCCAAUGUGCAAAAUCUCAGAAAUAGGAUACGGUGCACGAUCGGUCUGGACCACUGUUCGACCUGUUUUGCAAAUUCAUGCAACUGCAAGGACCUUGAUGCACAAUGUCGAAGGGAUAAGGUUCCUUAUCCUUUGUUUUCAUGUGCGGAUAUGAAAUCCCAAUGGGGAAUUUUUCUAUGCCACAGCAGCCUUUCGAGACAGGCUCGCCGACCGGAGGUGCCUCAGCUUCCGUUGGGUACAACGGGCGCGAGCGCCGCGCGGGGGAAGGGGACCCUCAACGACGGCCUGGAAGGCUGCGCCAUGGCCGGAGGGAGGAGCGACCGCGGCGCGCGCGCUUCAGCCAGCGCCGGCCAGAGGCCGCCAUCAUGCCUUCUGCAAGUGAGGCCUUGGUCGCAGGCGCUGCGUCAGAUGCAGGUGGGCGUUGCUAUGGAGGAACGGCCGGGGGCCUCGUCAUCCGCUGAGAAGCGGCCGCGCCGUCACGGCCCGUCGCGCUCACGCAGUCUGCAGCCGUAGCGCGGACGGAGAGGGCCGACGUGCUUCUUGUCGGCCGUAGGCCGCUCGUGCCGUUCAAAAUCGACAGCGUCGAUCCAUUAAGAGGUAAGAACAUCCCGAAUUGUAGAAGACUACCUGCACGCUUACAGUUCUUGUUUGGAUUUUCAAUCCAUUGAUCAAGGGUGCCUUUUCCAUUCGUCUUUUCCUCCGUUGAUGUCUUUCCGAUGGAAGGUUGCCAACAUUGUCCUGAUUCCAUCCCCACAUGCUCGGAUGAAGCAAUUCUCAACGGCGGUUGCCGGUUGACUCGUCACAGGUCACAGCGAUUAGCGCUAAUUAGCCUGAUCGUGUAGUGACGCCGGCCGCUCGGAAGCCACGCCGCCGGGGCAAGCCAAGGCCGCUCGCCGUUGUUGUUCGAGGGCCGUAGUCGGGGAGGCACCGGGUUCCGCGGGCAGGCGUUUCAGGCGUACAUAACCGCUGCCUGGGAUGGCCUAUUUCUCUCAUCGAAGAGCAAAGGGCUGAUAACGUGUUAAGAGGAAAAUGAAUCAACUCACUCCUUUACUAGAUGGCAUCUGCUAUUUAUACAAGGGAAAGGAUAUCAUUAGAAAAGGUGUCUGUUCAAUUAGAAAAGGUGUCUGUUUAGAGGAGGUGCCUGUUCGCCAGGAACCGACGCGGCCGUUUUACAACUGCCUGCGGUUAGUACAAGCAGGGAUUAAUCCCAUAAUUAACACAUGGUUAAUUAAUUCUAAGGAGGUGUUUGGUUAGAUGAUUUCUGCCCGUCAUCUGAUUACAGCGUGAUCUGAAAACGUUACGCGCGUUUGGUAACGCAGCGCCGUAAUCGGCUUCCAUCGUAAACGAGUCCCGUCACACUUGCGCUCGAUACCGCCCACCCCCCACCGUAACCAAGUUGCGCCCGUCAGGCUGCCCCCUCUGCUUUAUCGAAGCCGCCGGUUAGUGCCACCACUUCCCUCCUUCCAGCCGCCGGAGAUGCCUCCAUGGCCUGCAGCUGCUGGCCGGAUAUCCCUCCAUGGCCUGCAUCUCGGUGAGGAACCC
rnacentral:rRNA from 1 species